CGGGUUGACCGAGGGAAUCGCGGCAGGCCAUGCGCCUGUCGAGGAAAGUCCGCACUCCGCAGGGCGACGAUGCCGGCUAACGGCCGGGCAGGGUAACCUGACGGCAAGUGCAACAGAGAGCAGAUUGCGGCGGAGACGCUGCGAGGGUGAAAGGGUGCGGUAAGAGCGCACCGGCAUCGGCAGUGAUGUCGAUGGCCAGGCAAACCCCAUCGGGAGCAAGGCGAAACAGGCGCCGGGGAGCGGCCCGUUCCGUAGAAAGCGCCGGGUGCGCCGCUAGAGAUCGGUGGCAACGCCGAUCCCAGAUAGAUGAUUCCCCCGUCUUCGGACGGACAGAAUGCGGCUUAUGGCGUCGACCCGGUAC
rnacentral:RNase_P_RNA from 1 species